UAUGUAGGGGGCAAGCGUUGUCCGGAAUCAUUGGGCGUAAAGAGCGUGUAGGCGGCCCGAUAAGUCCGCUGUGAAAGUCCAGGGCUCAACCCUGGGAUGCCGGUGGAUACUGUCGGGCUCGAGUCCGGAAGAGGAGUGUGGAAUUCCUGGUGUAGCGGUGAAAUGCGCAGAUAUCAGGAGGAACACCAAUGGCGAAGGCAGCACUCUGGGACGUGACUGACGCUGAGACGCGAAAGCGUGGGGAGCAAACAGG
rnacentral:rRNA from 1 species